UUGGUUUAAGGCAGCUAGUUUACCCGCACUUGUUUGUCUUCUUCUCACACCAUUGAUUUUGUACAAGCUCUACCCCCCCGAAAUCAAGGACACUCCAGAGGCUCCUGCACUGGCUGCCAAGAAACUGGAAAGUAUGGGCCCUGUUACAAAAAAUGAAUGGAUUAUGGUUGUCACAAUGCUUCUUGCAGUGUCUCUGUGGAUCUUUGGGUAUGUCACCUGUCUACUAUUAUUUCUACACAUCUAUGUAUGUGUAUGGAUGCAUCUUUUUUAACUGAUUUCUUAAGUUUGUUGACCUCUUGGGUGGAGAGCCUGUUUUUUUAAUUAGUACUUUCUAAUUUUCGUCAAUGUUCUGGUCACCAAGUUUAUACUCUCUGGCUUAUUAUGGAUGCACUCUUCGGAAUUCUUUUGUAUGCAUAACAUAAGAACUUAUGAUAAUAAUGUGAGUCAUCUCACAAACUCAACCAUGCUUACGAGUAUUACACCUUCUGUUAAUGACUAUCCAAUAGUCCACUAGUUAUACCUGUCUGCGUAGCAAUGCAAAUUGUUGUUUUUCUUACAAUUUCUCAUCGUUGAAUUCUGUACCAUCCAUGUGUUUUUGGUCCUGCAGAGACACUAUUGGCAUAGCAAGUACUGUAGCUGCAAUGAUCGGUUUGUC
rnacentral:lncRNA from 1 species